GGUCAGAGAGAGCUGCUUUUUCAUGAAACGGGAGAAAAGUAGUGAACUUAGAGGAGAGAAACGAACUAAAGUAUCGAUCAUAUACCACUACCAACGUUUGGAUCGAUAUCUGCAUCGAUCUGCCCACCCUUGUCUCCUGGAUCGUAGCUGACGUCAGCGUGAACCACGUGGGUCUCUGCUCCCUGAUCUGUUUCCUGUGUUUGGAAAGAGUUCCAGCUUCAUCACGGAGUUUCUCUCGGUUUGUGGGCUCAUCUAAAGGGAUAAAAUACAUAUCUACAAUGUUUGUGUCCCAGCUGAGUAACAGGAGGAGAAGAGUCUGGUGGAGCAGCAGAGGAACAGUUUCAGCCAUUUGGACUCAGCUCAGCCACUACAGAGGAAACAAUGACUUCAACACAAAAGGACCAACAUGUAAUGAGAAGUCAGCGCUCUCAGGAGACCGACAAACCUCACCGAAAAAAGGGGCAGAAAAAAUACACCUGUGAUGAGUGUGGAAAGGAUUUUACCCUUCUUGGAAACUUUAAAGCACACCAACUCGUCCACAGUGGAGUUAAAGCAUACAGCUGUGACUUGUGUGGAAAGUCUUUUGCCCGGGCUGGAACCUUGAAAAAACACAAAGUCAUCCACAGUGGAGUUAAAGCAUACCGCUGUGAUGAGUGUGGAAAGUCUUUUACCCAGCUUGGUCACUUAAAACAACACCAACUUAUCCACAGUGGAGUUAAAGCAUACAGAUGUAACUUGUGUGGAAAUUCUUUUACCCGAGCUGGAACCUUAAGAAAACACCAAGUCAUCCACAGUGGAGUUAAAGCGUACAGCUGUGACUUGUGUGAAAAAUCUUUUAUCGAUGCUGGAAGCUUAAAAAAACACAAACUCACCCACAGUGGAUUUAAAGCAUACUACUGUGACUUGUGUGGAAAAUCUUUUACUCAGGCUGACAACUUAAAAACACACCAAGUCAUCCACAGUGGAGUUAAACCAUACAUUUGUGACUUGUGUGGAAAAUCUUUUGCUUAUCCUAGAAGCUUAAAAAUACAUCAACUUAUCCACAGUGGAGUUAAAGCACACAGCUGUGAUCAGUGUGGUAAAACGUUUGCUCACAGUUGCAACUUACGACGUCAUCAAGAUACCCACUCUGGAAUUAAGGCAAAUAGCUGUGACAAUUGUGGUAAAACCUUUAGUAGUAUAAGUUACCUAAAAAGACACCUACGCAUUCACACUGGACAUGAUGUUUACUGCUGUGAUCAGUGUGGGAAAGUCUUCACAACAGCCACACAGUUAUGUCACCAUACAUUUACCCACACUGAAGAGAGACCUUAUAAAUGUGACCUGUGUGAGAAGACUUUUAAAGCUCCACAUUCUCUGAAAGGGCACCAGCAGAUCCACACCAGAAGGAAACUCUAUAAGUGCAGUUACUGUGAGAAGCAGAGCGACACAGAUGGAUCCAGUUCUCAACCCUGUCGCCACUGUGGUGGUGGGAAAGAGUUUCUCUGUGACCUUUGUGGAAAUGCUUUCAGUAAUCGACAGAGUCUAAAUCGACAUCGACGUAGACACACUGGAGACAAAAUGAACUACUGCAAAGAAUGCGGGAGAGGCUUCACCACAUUAAGUGAUUUAAAAUGCCAUGAACUCUACCAUAGUGGGGUUAAAAAGCACGUCUGUGACCAGUGUGGGUCAUCCUUCACCGCUGCAGGUGACCUUAAAAAGCAUAAGCGAAUCCACACAGGAGAGACACCAUAUAAGUGCAAACACUGUGACAGAAGCUUUUCAUAUGCAGCGAGUCGUAACCAACAUGAACUUACACAUAUGGAAGAGAUAUUUAGCUGUGACCAGUGUGACAAGAGCUUUAGGAAUUUCACUUCAUACUCCAGACACAAACAAGCCCACGCUGCAAAUAAACAGUUUCACUGUUACCAAUGUGCCAAAGCAUUCACUUCAUUAUCUGCUCUGUGCAAACAUCAGCGUGAUCAUGCAGAACUGAAAUCACCAGAUCACAAAGAAUCUGAAGAGACAGAAAGAUCAUCUUCUGGUUUCAGGGUCAGACUUCAAAACCUUGAGAUCAGGCUCCACAGAGUUCAGCUAGAGUCUCCUGUAAAGAGUGUCAGCUGAUGUCACACUUGGAUCUGAUGAGGUAGCUCUGAUUUUUGGACCUGCAGUGAAUGUUAAAUUAAUGAAGCUGUAAGUAUAGAUAUGUACAUGAAGUUUAUUUUCCCUUGAGGGAAUUUUAAUGUUGUAAAUUUUCAUCCCUGAUACAUUUAAAUGUUUCUUCCCUUAGGAAACCGUAGUGUUUAGUAGUUGUACCUUUUGCUACAUUAUAGAAGUUAUAGGAAUGUGUUUUACCAAACUUGUAUUGUAUCAAAACUGCCCAUUUGAAUAUAUACAUCAGUUCUUUUCAUUUUAACUUUCUUCUUCUUUUCCAAAUAAAACUUGCUUUCUCUAUGUAUUCAUUUUAUGUAUUACUUCAGUUACAUUUUAAUCGUUUUUCAUAUUUAUUCUUCUGCUUUGGUAAUCUCUGCUCUUAAAUCCUUUUCUUUCAAAGCUUCAAAUAAUUUCUCACCAGUUGCUCCUAAAGCUUCCAAAAUAAACUAAAUCUAUCAACCGGCAUUUAAACAAUAAUUACUAUUGAUUUUUUUUAAGUUAUUGCAUUUUAAUCCACAUGUUCUGCAGCUGUUUUUCCUGUAGAUUUGAAGUUUGUAUUACAAAAUCCUGAUACUGUUGUAGCAUUAGUUAUAUUUGAUGAAUUCUGUGUAAAGUUCUUAUUAAACAGUUUGGUGUCAAAAAUAA